rnacentral:rRNA from 1 species
CCUACGGGGGGCAGCAGUGGGGAAUAUUGGACAAUGGGCGAAAGCCUGAUCCAGCCAUGCCGCGUGUGUGAAGAAGGCCUUCGGGUUGUAAAGCACUUUCAGUGGGGAAGAAAGCCUUGGGGCUAAUACCCUCGAGGAAGGACAUCACCCACAGAAGAAGCACCGGCUAACUCCGUGCCAGCAGCCUCGGUAAUACGGAGGGUGCGAGCGUUAAUCGUAAUUACUGGGCGUAAAGCGCGCGUAGGCGGUCUGAUAAGCCGGUUGUGAAAGCCCCGGGCUCAACCUGGGAACGGCAUCCGGAACUGUCAGGCUAGAGUGCAGGAGAGGAAGGUAGAAUUCCCGGUGUAGCGGUGAAAUGCGUAGAGAUCGGGAGGAAUACCAGUGGCGAAGGCGGCCUUCUGGACUGACACUGACGCUGAGGUGCGAAAGCGUGGGUAGCAAACAGGAUUAGAUACCCGGGUAGUC